rnacentral:lncRNA from 1 species
AAAGGUUCAGAAAAGAUUCUUCUGCUUUCAUGUUCUCAUAAAGCAGUGUCCAACCACCGGAGUCGCAGUUCUGUAACAUCAAAUCCCACUUUGCCUUCCCUGCACAUGAGUGGUGAUGUUGUUGCAACUGAUCAGAGAAGCAAAGCCUUCGUAUCAUCUUUAAGCAAAAGCUCUUCUCAUCAUCUUUUCGUGAAGAACAUUUCUGCGACUGCGCUCCUUUUGCUUUCACCUUAGGUGACCACCACCUCCACUUGUUCCACCAUUGCUCGGUGGACAGUGCGCAGCAUGUGCCGCUCACAGCACAGAGGAAGAAGAAGGAACAUAAAAGGGGCAGUGACGGCAACUCCCCUCCCUCCUACAUUCUUCCUCGACUCCAUGUGGAUCGACUUUUGUGGGCAGCUGAAGCUUUCCUACUGCCCUCUCGAUCUCGUCCUGUGUGGUAAAAGCUCGCUCGCUGUCACUUCUGAGCGAGCUUUAUUCGGGUGGGCCGCUAAUGUAUUCGGCCCGUUACUAACUCAUGAUGGCCCAUUUAUUACUACAAAGGAUCCGAGUA